GACGAACGCUGGCGGCGUGCUUAACACAUGCAAGUCGAACGGUAAAGCGCCUUUCGUUUUGGUGGGUGGGGGUGGGUGGGGAAGGGGCGAGUAAGACGUGAGCAACCUGGCCCGUGCUUCUGGUUAACCGCAGGAAAGUGUGGCUAAUACGGCCGAUCCUGUGUGUGUGGCAUGAGGGGUGUGGGAAAGGUUUUGUUUCAGGGGGGGAUGGGCGCGCGUCCGUUUAGCUGGUUGGUGGGGUGACGGCCGACCAAGGCGGGGAUGGGUAGCCGGCCUGAGAGGGUGGUCGGCGGCAAUGGGGCUGAGGUGCGGCCCCGAAGACUACGGGAGGCAGCAGUUGAGAAGAUUCCGGAAUGGUGGGAAGUCUGAUGGAGCGGCGACGCGUGGAUGGAGAUGGCCGCCUGGGGGUAGUAACCUUCUUUGGCUGGUGAAGCAGGACAGCAGGGUAUGUGGGUGGGGUGACGGUAGCUGGAGAAGAAGCACCGGCUAACUACGUG
rnacentral:rRNA from 1 species